rnacentral:rRNA from 1 species
AGCGUACACGGUGGAUGCCCUGGCAGUCAGAGGCGAUGAAGGACGUGCUAAUCUGCGAUAAGCGUCGGUAAGGUGAUAUGAACCGUUAUAACCGGCGAUUUCCGAAUGGGGAAACCCAGUGUGAUUCGUCACACUAUCAUUAACUGAAUCCAUAGGUUAAUGAGGCGAACCGGGGGAACUGAAACAUCUAAGUACCCCGAGGAAAAGAAAUCAACCGAGAUUCCCCCAGUAGCGGCGAGCGAACGGGGAGCAGCCCAGAGCCUGAAUCAGUGUGUGUGUUAGUGGAAGCGUCUGGAAAGGCGCGCGAUACAGGGUGACAGCCCCGUACACAAAAAUGCACAUGCUGUGAGCUCGAUGAGUAGGGCGGGACACGUGGUAUCCUGUCUGAAUAUGGGGGGACCAUCCUCCAAGGCUAAAUACUCCUGACUGACCGAUAGUGAACCAGUACCGUGAGGGAAAGGCGAAAAGAACCCCGGCGAGGGGAGUGAAAAAGAACCUGAAACCGUGUACGUACAAGCAGUGGGAGCACGCUUAGGCGUGUGACUGCGUACCUUUUGUAUAAUGGGUCAGCGACUUAUAUUCUGUAGCAAGGUUAACCGAAUAGGGGAGCCGAAGGGAAACCGAGUCUUAACUGGGCGUUAAGUUGCAGGGUAUAGACCCGAAACCCGGUGAUCUAGCCAUGGGCAGGUUGAAGGUUGGGUAACACUAACUGGAGGACCGAACCGACUAAUGUUGAAAAAUUAGCGGAUGACUUGUGGCUGGGGGUGAAAGGCCAAUCAAACCGGGAGAUAGCUGGUUCUCCCCGAAAGCUAUUUAGGUAGCGCCUCGUGAACUCAUCUCCGGGGGUAGAGCACUGUUUCGGCAAGGGGGUCAUCCCGACUUACCAACCCGAUGCAAACUGCGAAUACCGGAGAAUGUUAUCACGGGAGACACACGGCGGGUGCUAACGUCCGUCGUGAAGAGGGAAACAACCCAGACCGCCAGCUAAGGUCCCAAAGUCAUGGUUAAGUGGGAAACGAUGUGGGAAGGCCCAGACAGCCAGGAUGUUGGCUUAGAAGCAGCCAUCAUUUAAAGAAAGCGUAAUAGCUCACUGGUCGAGUCGGCCUGCGCGGAAGAUGUAACGGGGCUAAACCAUGCACCGAAGCUGCGGCAGCGACGCUUAUGCGUUGUUGGGUAGGGGAGCGUUCUGUAAGCCUGUGAAGGUGUGCUGUGAGGCAUGCUGGAGGUAUCAGAAGUGCGAAUGCUGACAUAAGUAACGAUAAAGCGGGUGAAAAGCCCGCUCGCCGGAAGACCAAGGGUUCCUGUCCAACGUUAAUCGGGGCAGGGUGAGUCGACCCCUAAGGCGAGGCCGAAAGGCGUAGUCGAUGGGAAACAGGUUAAUAUUCCUGUACUUGGUGUUACUGCGAAGGGGGGACGGAGAAGGCUAUGUUGGCCGGGCGACGGUUGUCCCGGUUUAAGCGUGUAGGCUGGUUUUCCAGGCAAAUCCGGAAAAUCAAGGCUGAGGCGUGAUGACGAGGCACUACGGUGCUGAAGCAACAAAUGCCCUGCUUCCAGGAAAAGCCUCUAAGCAUCAGGUAACAUCAAAUCGUACCCCAAACCGACACAGGUGGUCAGGUAGAGAAUACCAAGGCGCUUGAGAGAACUCGGGUGAAGGAACUAGGCAAAAUGGUGCCGUAACUUCGGGAGAAGGCACGCUGAUAUGUAGGUGAAGUCCCUCGCGGAUGGAGCUGAAAUCAGUCGAAGAUACCAGCUGGCUGCAACUGUUUAUUAAAAACACAGCACUGUGCAAACACGAAAGUGGACGUAUACGGUGUGACGCCUGCCCGGUGCCGGAAGGUUAAUUGAUGGGGUCAGCGCAAGCGAAGCUCUUGAUCGAAGCCCCGGUAAACGGCGGCCGUAACUAUAACGGUCCUAAGGUAGCGAAAUUCCUUGUCGGGUAAGUUCCGACCUGCACGAAUGGCGUAAUGAUGGCCAGGCUGUCUCCACCCGAGACUCAGUGAAAUUGAACUCGCUGUGAAGAUGCAGUGUACCCGCGGCAAGACGGAAAGACCCCGUGAACCUUUACUAUAGCUUGACACUGAACAUUGAGCCUUGAUGUGUAGGAUAGGUGGGAGGCUUAGAAGUGUGGACGCCAGUCUGCAUGGAGCCGACCUUGAAAUACCACCCUUUAAUGUUUGAUGUUCUAACGUUGACCCGUAAUCCGGGUUGCGGACAGUGUCUGGUGGGUAGUUUGACUGGGGCGGUCUCCUCCUAAAGAGUAACGGAGGAGCACGAAGGUUGGCUAAUCCUGGUCGGACAUCAGGAGGUUAGUGCAAUGGCAUAAGCCAGCUUGACUGCGAGCGUGACGGCGCGAGCAGGUGCGAAAGCAGGUCAUAGUGAUCCGGUGGUUCUGAAUGGAAGGGCCAUCGCUCAACGGAUAAAAGGUACUCCGGGGAUAACAGGCUGAUACCGCCCAAGAGUUCAUAUCGACGGCGGUGUUUGGCACCUCGAUGUCGGCUCAUCACAUCCUGGGGCUGAAGUAGGUCCCAAGGGUAUGGCUGUUCGCCAUUUAAAGUGGUACGCGAGCUGGGUUUAGAACGUCGUGAGACAGUUCGGUCCCUAUCUGCCGUGGGCGCUGGAGAACUGAGGGGGGCUGCUCCUAGUACGAGAGGACCGGAGUGGACGCAUCACUGGUGUUCGGGUUGUCAUGCCAAUGGCACUGCCCGGUAGCUAAAUGCGGAAGAGAUAAGUGCUGAAAGCAUCUAAGCACGAAACUUGCCCCGAGAUGAGUUCUCCCUGACUCCUUGA